UCUAAGGACUUCUAAGCCUAACGGCUAGAAAUGAGAAGACUUCGGUCUUCACGGAAACUAUGUUUCCAGAGAAUCAUGUUCUCGCAGAGGUCUUUGAUCUCAAAGAGAUUCAUGCUCUCAAAGAGACUUCGGUCUCAAAACCAGCUCGUUUCGAGCUCAUCUAUCUUUAACUCGUUUAGUCUUGAGGGAUCAACCCUUGAGCAUGGUGCGAACCAUGUUCUUGAUGGCGUCAGCCUAAGGGAUUGAGAGCUCUUGUUCCUUGAAAACUGGAUAGCAAACUUUGUGAUUCAAGACAUCGAAUCAAUGUAUGAUCUUUCGAUAGCAUUAACUUAGGUUAAGCUACGAAGGGCGCACGGAGGAUGCCUUGGCGCCAGGUGCCGAUGAAGGACGGGGCAAACGCCGAUACGCUUCGGGGAGUCGUAAGCAGACUUUGAUCCGGAGAUUU
rnacentral:misc_RNA from 1 species